AUAUACAUUUUAAGACCUAACCAGGAACGACUGCGAAAAAUGCAGCACAAGGUCCUCUGGUCUACCAGAGGACCUUGUGCUGCAUUUUUCGCAGUCGUUCCUGGUUAGGUCCCAAAAUGUAUAU